ensembl:lncRNA
GGGGCAGGUGUGUGUGAUGGUUUGUCGUAGCGGGGUGUGGAGGAACUAGACGGCUCGGAUGAGGAAGAUUAUGCAUGGCUGAAGACGAGCCAUCGCCGGCCUGAUGGGAGGAGGGCGUCAGAGGAUGAGGGUGUGUGAGGGUGAGGUUGUGUUAGGCUGAGGGUGAGGGUGUGUGAGGGUGAGGUUGUGUUAGGUUGAGGGUGAGGGGAGUGUGAGGGUGUGAGAGACGCUGAUGAUUGGGGAGCGAGUUGGGAACCAGUCUCUCUUAAUUGCAUCGACUUCCUCGAUGCAAUCAACUGGGAACCGGUCAGAUCCCACGACGGGACCCCUCAGAUCUGUGUUUGUGUGUCCCAAGACGACAGGACGUUGUCAGCAGUUACGUCAUCAUCGCAUGCGUCAGUGGAUUGUUUUUUUAAGGAGAGCAGCUCCACUUCCUCCCGUGUUC